UACAGAGGUCUCAACCGUUGUUCGGAUUCAUUGGGCGUAAAGGGUGCGUAGGCGGUCGUGCAAGUCGGAUGUGAAAUCUCAGGGCUCAACCCUGAAACUGCAUUCGAUACUGCGCGGCUAGAGUGCUGGAGUGGAGACUGGAAUUUACGGUGUAGCAGUGAAAUGCGUAGAUAUCGUAAGGAAGACCAGUGGCGAAGGCGAGUCUCUGGACAGCAACUGACGCUGAGGCACGAAGGCCAGGGGAGCAAACGGG
rnacentral:rRNA from 1 species